rnacentral:rRNA from 1 species
GAUCAUGGCUCAGGAUGAACGCUAGCUACAGGCUUAACACAUGCAAGUCGAGGGGCGAGCAUGAACUUAGCUUGCUAAGUUUGUAUGGCGACCGGCGCACGGGUGAGUAACACGUAUCCAACCUUCCGUUUACUCAGGGAUAGCCUUUCGAAAGAAAGAUUAAUACCUGAUAGUAUGGUGAGAUUGCAUGAUAGCACCAUUAAAGAUUUAUUGGUAAACGAUGGGGAUGCGUU